rnacentral:rRNA from 1 species
UACAGAGGGUGCAAGCGUUAAUCGGAAUUAUUGGGCGUAAAGGGUGCGUAGGCGGUUCCGCAAGUCCUGUGUGAAAUCUUCGGGCUCAACUCGAAGUCUGCACGGGAAACUGCGGGGCUUGAGUGUGGGAGAGGUGAGUGGAGUUCCCGGUGUAGCGGUGAAAUGCGUAGAUAUCGGGAGGAACACCUGUGGCGAAGGCAGCCCCCUGGGUCAAGAUUGACGCUCAUGCACGAAAGCGUGGGGAGCAAACAGG